CAAGCCAAUCAGAUUUUGAAACUUUUUUUGCUAACGCCCACGCUCCUGUCAACCAUAGCCUGUAUACAGUUACACAGAUACACUUACACACACUGGUUUAUGCUUGCCCCAUUAACGUCUUGUAUGCUUGUGGAUCAAACAAAGUUUACCCAAAUACCUACAAUCAUAGAAUUUCUUCUACAUUGUCAAAUAAAAAAAUAUCUUAUUUGUUAACAAUUUCCUUAACAACAUUACAACAAGAACUACUACUACUACUACUACUAACAACAACAACAAUAAUAAUCAUGCUUUUUAUUUACAAUGUGCCUCUCAUUCACCCAAAACACUCAAUGUAGACGAUUAUUCAAACAUAUGUGUAGUGUUGUCAUAUGUAAGACAUUUUAGCUGUGACAGCUCAAUUGCUGAUUAUUUCCUCUAUAAAUUAUUGCCAUUGGACACUUUCAUGUGACACAUACAUUUUGAAUGACCACAUUCUCUUCAGAUGGUAAGAUGAAAAAAUGCAAGGCCAAGUUACCUGAAAUUUAGGAAACACAGGGUGGCACUGCUUUGGAGUAUAGGUUGUUCAAUUUGUGUGAGCUAAGACAGCCAAUAUUGUAACUUGGCCUAAUUUUGAUAUCAGUAGCUUCAAUGGCAGGCCUAGAGUUUGCAAGUUUGAAAUAAUGAUUUAUAGACAGUGCUUUGAAUGUGUGAGUAACUUGUAAUUUUUUUACGCUGAUGUUCAGAUAACAUCUACAUUACAGGCAUUUAGCAGACGCUCUCAUCCAGAGCAAAGUAUAUUGUGCAAAAGGCGCAGAGUAUGAACAGUGAAGACCUAACCUGUUGCUGGCAACGCCCCUUUUGUUUACGGCUCGCACUUGCCGCGGUUAAUUUUGUGCAAAGUUAGUCAGUUCAACGGUCAUUUCUAGCGAGUUAAGUUUCCUUUGUGUGCGUCAAUAAACGGCAGGAUACAACAGCAGCAGGGGAUCAAACCCACAACCUUUUCAUUGUAAACCCAGUUCACCACUGUUUACCAGUUCUCUGGCCUCUCCCAGCCAGACUCAUUAGACUAUAUAAAGGACCAUCAGCUGGAACUUUCCACCUCACACACAAAGUUACUGUCCUCCACAGCAGGGAUACAACAGCAGCAGGGGAUCAAACCCACAACCUUUUCAUUGUAAACCCAGUUCACCACUGUUUACCAGUUCUCUGGCCUCUCCCAGCCAGACUCAUUAGACUAUAUAAAGGACCAUCAGCUGGAACUUUCCACCUCACACACAAAGUUACUGUCCUCCACAGCAGACCAACACCCUUCUCAGCACCAUGGGUGAGUAUCCUAUUACUUUAAUACAGAAUGACAGAAACAGAUAAAGGUUUUCAGAUUUUGUUCCAGCACCAUGUUAAUUGCUAAGUAUGACUGGGGCUCAAUACUGUAUUAGAGAAUAGACUGAAAC